rnacentral:tRNA from 1 species
GGGGCUAUGGGGUAGCUUGGUAGCCUUUGAGGUUUGGGACCUUAAGACCCCGGUUCAAAUCCGGGUAGCCCCA